CCCACCCUCAGCACCUCAAUCUGCUGCAUGCCCAGGACCCCCUUGCCCUGUCAUUUCUAUUCUAGGUCCCAUGUGACCACUGGGGACUUAGCAAGGACGCCAUGUUCCCUUGUUGUUUCUGGAUGCAUUUCACCUUUCCCCUGUCCUUAUGAAACCACCACCACACAGAAGACAGAACUGGCAACAGGGCCCUGGUCCGCGGCUUGGUAUUAGAAGAUUAUUGUAGCUGGAGUGGAAGGCAGCAUCAGGAGCCAGGAGGAGACCUGCUGGGUUGGAGCGUCCAAAGAGAAGGCUGGAGAGCCAACCCUCCUUCCAUUCCUCUUUCUCUUCCUGGCCAAUGUCUAAAGUGCAUAAAUCAGUUGUGCCAAAAUUAGGAGAGAACGUUUAUGCUUUAUUACCACACAGCCACACAGCAACAACUUUGCAGGUGAUUAAAUAUGCAUCCGAUGAACUUUGCUGUAAGCUUGACUUAAUAAAAACAUCCAAACUCCAC
rnacentral:lncRNA from 1 species